GCCCGUAUAGCUCAGUGGUAGAGCGUUGCACUUGUAAUGCAAAGGUCCGUGGAUCAACCCCGCGUGUGGGCA